AUUACUGGAUUAUAUUUCACGAAGGGGGUCGAGCUAAUUAAUAAAGCAUUAUAGUGUUGAUUUUAUAUGUUGCAAAAUAUAAAGCAUAUUAUUAAUUAGGGGUGAUAGGCUUUACAAGACUCCCUAUAUCUUGUUUUUUAGGAAAUAUAUUAAGUAUAUAAUCCAAUCUUGAAGUGGCAAGGCUUCUUGGGAUUACAAAUUUAAAUUUACUGGAGUGUGAUUUAUUUAACAAUACUUGUUUUACUCUUAACAACAUAAAGUCUUAAUUAUUGUAUAAAUUACUAAAAUUUACGUGUAAUCAAUAAAGGUAUUAUUACUGUUGAUAUUAGUAUUAUAUUAUUCCCCUUAUAGGAACUCGGCAAAUAACUUCUCAACUGUUUACCAAAAACAUAGCUAGACGAUAUAAUGUUUGGUUAUUUCUGCUCAAUGAUAGUUUAAAUAGCCGCAGUACCCUGACUGUGCAAAGGUAGCAUAAUCAUUUGGCUUAUAAUUGAAGUCUGGCAUGAAGGAAUAAAUGGGAAGAAACUGUCUUUAAUGGGACUAUAGAAUUUAAUUAGCAAGUGAAAAUUCUUGCACAUAAAUAAUAGACGAGAAGACCCUAGAAAUUUUUUUAUAAUGUGAUACUAACUAUUAUAAUUAUUUUGUUGGGGCGACAGAAUAACAGAAAACUUAUUUUAAUUAUUAGAACUUUAUAUUGAGUAAAAAGAAAUUACUCUAGGGAUAACAGCAUAAUUUAUCAAAGUUUGUGACCUCGAUGUUGGACUAGGGAUCUUAAUAUUUAGAAGAUACUAAGCCAGGCUCUGUUCGAGCCGUAAUCCCUACAUGAUCUGAGUUCAGACCGGC
rnacentral:rRNA from 1 species